GUGUGUGUAAUUUAAAAAAAAUAUCAAGUUGUGACCCUGAAAAUAGAUUUCACCUCACACACC
rnacentral:tRNA from 1 species